AGCGAACGCUGGCGGCAGGCUUAACACAUGCAAGUCGAACGGGCGUAGCAAUACGUCAGUGGCAGACGGGUGAGUAACGCGUGGGAACGUACCUUUUGGUUCGGAACAACCCAGGGAAACUUGGGCUAAUACCGGAUAAGCCCUUACGGGGAAAGAUUUAUCGCCGAAAGAUCGGCCCGCGUCUGAUUAGCUAGUUGGUGAGGUAACAGCUCACCAAGGCGACGAUCAGUAGCUGGUCUGAGAGGAUGAUCAGCCACAUUGGGACUGAGACACGGCCCAAACUCCUACGGGAGGCAGCAGUGGGGAAUAUUGGACAAUGGGCGCAAGCCUGAUCCAGCCAUGCCGCGUGAGUGAUGAAGGCCCUAGGGUUGUAAAGCUCUUUUGUGCGGGAAGAUAAUGACGGUACCGCAAGAAUAAGCCCCGGCUAACUUCGUGCCAGCCGCCGCCGUAAG
rnacentral:rRNA from 1 species